rnacentral:lncRNA from 1 species
GUGGAGGACUACCUGCAGGCCUGUCGAGCUACCCUGCACACCAUCAUACUGGAUUGUGUCAACAUGGACCUUAAAAUUGGAAAGGCAACCCUUAAAGACAGCAAUAUGUGGAGAAGCUAGAGGUCCUCUUCCCAGAUCUACCCAAGAGAAAUGAUAUCUUUGAUUCCCUACAAAAGGCAAAGUUCAAGGUAUCAGGACUGACUACUGAGCAGAUGCUGAGAAAGGACCAGAAGACCUUUUAUAGACAAGGCAUCAAGGUGGCCAUUCAUGCAAUCUAUAUGGAUUUGUCUGUGGAGUCCUGGAACGCUCCCACUCUCCGUCCCUGAAGCUGACUCCUGACCUAAGCACCUCUCUAACCUCCAAGCCCAUCUUCAAGGCAACACCCAGAUCUCUUGAAAGAAAUUUCUGCCUCUGCUCCAGGAAGCCCUGUCAGCAUAUUUUGACUCCAGAUCCCUUUAGGACAGCCUGAGACAGUGGGUGUGUCCAGGGAGCAGGUGGACAAGGAAUUGGACAGGGCAAGUAACUCCCUGAUUCCUGGACUGAGUCCAGAUGAGGAGGACCCUCUGCUGCCCCCCACGUCCAUGAACAGCCUGGUGGAUGAGUGCUCUCUGGAACAGGGCUGCCUAAACUCUCUGCUGAGGCCAUCCUUGAGAAGUGCAGUGAGAUCUCACUGUCACAGUCUACCACUGCCUCCCUGUCCAAGAA